AUACACUUACACGCCCCUAUACUAUCUGAAGUUACCUUUCAGUGACUUAUAUAAAAAUAAAGAGAUUUGCGACGUAUACUUAAACCAAUUAACCAAACCAACCGUUACAAAACCUUAAGGAUAAUUAAUUAAUCAAUACAUCACAAGAGUGUAUUAGCCAAAUAAUUAAUUAAUUGCUAACUUUUAGUAAGAGAAAACAAUGUCUUGAGUUAAGCUUCUUAAGAGAAGAAGCUCAUUAUCAGACAAAUCAAUCCCAUGGUGUCACAUUGUUAUCUUCUCCAGAGCAAGUAACUUGAGUGAGAACUGAGGUCCACACUCCUGCCACAGACACACACAGAAAAAAAAAAACACAGUUAGCAGCAAUCAAAAAGAUAUCAUAAGGUCAGCAAAGAGCUGUAAAACCCUUAUCCUUGCAAACUCUAUCAUCUGCGCAGAUGCUUAAACAAAC
rnacentral:lncRNA from 1 species